CAAAAGAUACCCAUCUAUUAUAAACAAAUAAAGCUUGUGUAAAUCUAUUUGAGCCACUCAGACUGCACUUAAGGAAGCAGAGAAUGGUGAAUUAGAUUGAAAACUCAAUAUUAAAAUAAGAUGAGAUGCAGGACUGUAAGACUUUGCAGCUAAAUUAAAUAGUUUCUGUAACCUUAAUCAUCAUGUCCCCUACCUUUUCAAAUGUCUGAGUAAUUGAGUUAUCAAAAUUCCCAAUGCAGUUUCAGUUGGAAAAAAGUAUUCUCGGCUUCUGAGUCUAAAUUGUUGUGUGGUCUUGAGCAUUGGUAUAGCUGCCGCAUUUACCUCUGAGACAGCUGCGUUUCAGUGAUAGAUGGAGUGAUUGCCACGUGGGAUAUAUCUAUAAGGUAAAGUAUUUUAAGUGCUUUUGAGUCUAUUAUGGGGAUAUAUUUUUAUAGUUAUUAAACUUAGUCAAACUGCAGUGUAAAAUCUGAUUGCACUAUUAGUAAGGUUGCCAGGUGUCCGGUUUUGAACCAGACAGCCCAAUAUUUGAGCUUUCUAUUCAGGAAACAAAUUGAAAUAUAAAUGUCCAGUAUUUUCUAAAUACGAUGUAAUGUCAAGUGUGUCUGGUAUUUUUGUUGAAACCAUUUGGCAACCCUAAUGAUUAGAUUUUAAUGUCUUUUUUUUUUUUACAUUAACCCUGUGGUAUUCUGUGUAUUCACCAAAAAUAACAGAAUUAUCACUCCUCAAUGAAUUUAUCAACCACAUUUGUAUUUCAUUAACAAAGACAUUGUCUACACUAGAUGGUGGAUCAAUGCUGCAGAGAUUGGUUCAUCUUCAGUCGAUUUAUUGUGUCUGCUUAGAUGUGAUAAAUCGACCACCGAGCACUCUUCUGUGGACUCCAGUACACCACCAGGAGAAGAAUAGCUGAAGUUGAUGGGAGAGCAGCCUCGGUGAUCUUACUGUAUGGAAGACACCGCAAUCACUGAAUUCAAUCAAGAAGAGAAGGUCUGAUACUGAGGAGAUGAAAGUGGAGAAGCAGAAAUGAGAGGAUUUAACACAAGCUGGUCAAGGAGAAGAAACUGCCACUGCCAUUGCAUGUGAAAGGAGCAUCCAUCUACCUAAAUGGGCUGUCAUGGGAACUGGCUAUGAGGAAGGUCAGAAUAUGACCCUGAUUUGAACAAAAUCUGGAGUCAAAUAUUCACACCAGAAUGCUUUUGCCUCGCUGCACGUCAGAAGCCAUCUUGCUGCAAAUGCUUCACACACCUUGGAGUGCAGCUUGUGGAACUGAUGAGGUGAAGAGCACUGCACAGCAGCUCUGUGCUGGUAAUCACAGGACUGAAGAAACACAUACAUCAUCUGCCACACAGGUUGGCAUUUCAAGUAAAAACCUUCACAUUGUGUAAGAUGUUGGACAAAUGAUGGCCAUAUGCAUGUUUGUCUCUGUGCAGAUGGCUCUGCGUUCUCAGCCAGGAAAAAGCUGAGCUAGGCUUAUUUUGCAGACAGUUUAAUAUUAGUGACACACUUUAUGUCCUCUGCAAAAACAAUAAUGGAGGAUAAGGUGACAUAAAUUAUUUGCAAAUCGUUUGACAUAUGCAGGGCAUUGUCCUUGCAAUAAUCACCAUCAGUCUGUCAGUUUAAGAUAUGAACCGUGCCACUGCCAUUUUAUAUCAUUGUGUUAAACUUUCACAUGUUGUAAUUUUACAGAUUUGUUCUUUGGAGAAUCACUGCAACACAAAUCAAGUUGUAUUAUGUUUAGUCAGAUACUAUAUAGUGCACACUGCUAAGAUUUAAAAAAAAAAAGGCGAUGCAAGCAAAUGGUACUUAGAAGCAGUAUGCUCUUUAAAAGUUGGGAGAUUUGUCAGAGGUGACCAUAUCAUUAUUCAACUUUUCUGUUCAUUCUUCAAGACAAAAUGAAUUAUUUAAAUUCAUGUUAACCGUAGUUAUUAGGCUUAGAUGAAAAAGUGAGCAUCGGGAGGUACCACACUGACAGAUCAAUUUAAGUACAUCUAUCUAGGUGCUUAUGUGGCCUUCAUCACUGUAAUAUCCAAGCACAAAAAUUUCAAAUUAUUUUCACAAAUAUAUUGUGAGAAAAUAACCUUAUAAAAAUAGCCUUCAAGCCUCCUGUAGUUAUAUUACAGUAAGAUAAUAGCUUAUCUUUUUACAGCAGUGACAGAAGUUUCUGAGAUAGGGACAAAACUGAUUUGAUCACCAUUUCCUAUGUAAAUUCCUAAUAUAUAUAACUUUAAAAACUGAUUGGUUAUAUUAAAAUUAGUGUUUUUUCCCCAGUAGACCUGUAGUUUACCUAGAUCUUUGCAUGCUGAAAAUAUUUUAAAUCAAUGACAGGUCCCUUACAUUAUCCAUUUAAAAAACAAAUUUGAGAUGUUAGUGUGUGUUAAUUGGUGAGGGGAGCUAAUUAGAAAUUCUGUAUUGCAAGUUCUGGAAUAGCAUAUUUCAAUGACUUUUUACUCUAUUUUGAUUUAGAAAUCUGGUAUGUUUUCCUUGAGGAAAGGUACCACAUUCAGCAAAACAGAAUCUCGUCUCUUUCACUGAGUCCUUAAACUUGAAAGAUUUAUUACUCUUACAUCCUUGAAAAGAACAUAUCUUUUUCUUUGAAAGCAGCCAUUAUCACUAUACUAUUUUAUAUCUAUUCCAAUAAGUGCAGGCGGUAAAGUAGAUAAAUUCCUUGCAUACCAAUUAAAGACACGCACACACUGAGGAUUCUGUAAACUAUCAGAAAUGCUUAGAAUAAUGUCCUCACUCACACAGUAGAUAUAUCUGAGAAAUUUGACUUUUAUUAUUCUCAGCUUUACACCUCUGACAUUUCUAAAAACAUGGAGGAAAUUAAUGAGUACUUAUCCAAGAUCCCAGUGCUUCGCCUUGCUCCAAUGCUCAUGAAUUAUGGAAAAGGGCAUCUCGACUGAUGACGUAGAAUAGGCUCCAUGGACUGAGAGAGGCAUAAGGUCGAAUUUAUAAAGUACUGUAAAAAAAUAUUUGUCUCCACAUUCAUGAAACCUUAGAACACUCCUGUUCUUUUUGGCCUCCAACAAGGUUUGGUGGGACGAUAAGGUCCCACAAUGUGCCUCAGAAAAGGCUGCUUCUUUUUUCAGCAAAGAUGUAGAAAUUUUAUUCCAAAUGUUAGUAACCUGGAUUGCAGUAGUUC